GUCUUCAUUUCUUCCUGUUGAGUGAGGAAACUGCUAUGGCUGACUUGCUGGCCUUUGAAUUUGUUCGUGACAGAAAAGUGGCAGAAAAGGACAAUAGUGAUGAAGAUGGUGAAUCUUGGAAAGGACUUAGGAGCCAAAGAAUGAGCCAGGCGUGGGUUUGUGCCCAACACCAUGUGUCCUGGCUGGAGCAUCCAGGCCGAAGCUUGAUUUACAUUCAGGCUGCAUCCCUGAUUGGUGAAGCUGGACUUGCUUGUCGUCCUGAUGAGUCUGGUGAGAGCUCCCGACGAGGGGUGACAAUGAACGGGAAAACGCUGCAGAGGGCAGGGAUGGGAGGGGAAGGCUUGGGGAAUUAUCCAGGGGUUUCGUGUCAGGCAUUUGCCUGUUCAUCUUCUCCAUUUGGGCAACAACAACUUAAGCAAAGCAAGCAAAGAGGUUCACGUAAUUUUAGUGACCCCUGACAAAACUCGCGCAUCUCUGCUGGGAAGUGUGUGCUUUUCUUCCAUGCGGCAUUUGUUUUAAGUAUUUAGCUUCCCCACACAGUUGCAAGUUCAUCUAGCCAUUUUCUCUCUCGCUCUCUCCUUUUCUCUCUCUCUCCCUCAUGAAAUCACUUUAGUCAGCACAAAUUUGGAGGCAGAACCAAACCCAGUAAUAGCAUAUCUCAGACCGCUAUCAAUUUUCCGCCAGAAGAACGUUUCGGGACACAAAGUCCUUUGUCUAUUUCCAGAAGCUCGAUUCAAUGACAUUACAUGAAUGACUACAGCGCUAUAGCAUGUUCUGCACCGUUUCAAAUUGUAACCUAAAAAAAGGGAAGAACUUGGAUCGCAGCCAGAGUGUAAUGAUUUCAGUUCUUAAGAAAAUCCAGCAACCAUUACAGCACAUUCAAUAUUUUCUUGCUGUGGAAAUUUAAGAAUUGACUCUAAUCAAAUAGCAACCCCACCACCCCCAUCCUCCAUUUUCCUAUGGUUCCUGUUACUAAUAGGCCUCCCACGUCUGUUUUG
rnacentral:lncRNA from 1 species